GAUGAACGCUGGCGGCGUGCCUAAUACAUGCAAGUCGAGCGAACGGACGAGAAGCUUGCUUCUCUGAUGUUAGCGGCGGACGGGUGAGUAACACGUGGAUAACCUACCUAUAAGACUGGGAUAACUUCGGGAAACCGGAGCUAAUACCGGAUAAUAUUUUGAACCGCAUGGUUCAAAAGUGAAAGACGGUCUUGCUGUCACUUAUAGAUGGAUCCGCGCUGCAUUAGCUAGUUGGUAAGGUAACGGCUUACCAAGGCAACGAUGCAUAGCCGACCUGAGAGGGUGAUCGGCCACCCUGGAACUGAGACACGGUCCAGACUCCUACGGGAGGCAGCAGUAGGGAAUCUUCCGCAAUGGGCGAAAGCCUGACGGAGCAACGCCGCGUGAGUGAUGAAGGUCUUCGGAGCGUAAAACUCUGUUAUUAGGGAAGAACAUAUGUGUAAGUAACUGUGCACAUCUUGACGGUACCUAAUCAGAAAGCCACGGCUAACUACGUG
rnacentral:rRNA from 1 species